UGGGGAAUAUUGCACAAUGGGGGAAACCCUGAUGCAGCGACGCCGCGUGAGCGAAGAAGUAUUUCGGUAUGUAAAGCUCUAUCAGCAGGGAAGAAAAUGACGGUACCUGACUAAGAAGCUCCGGCUAAAUACGUGCCAGCAGCCGCGGUAAUACGUAUGGAGCAAGCGUUAUCCGGAUUUACUGGGUGUAAAGGGAGCGUAGGCGGCCAGACAAGUCUGAUGUGAAAGGCUGGGGCUCAACCCCAGGACUGCAUUGGAAACUGUGAGGCUAGAGUGUCGGAGAGGCAGGCGGAAUUCCUAGUG
rnacentral:rRNA from 1 species